rnacentral:rRNA from 1 species
UCGAGCUUUGCUCACAGGCACAUUCAUAUCCCAUAACACCUGUGCACUUGUCGGAUGGCUUAGUGAAGACCGCAAGGUUGAAUCUAUCCAUCUACUUUACAUAACAAUUCUGUAACAAAUGUAGUCUUAUUAUAACAUAAUAAAACUUUCAACAACGGAUCUCUUGGCUCUCGCAUCGAUGAAGAACGCAGCGAAAUGCGAUAAGUAAUGUGAAUUGCAGAAUUCAGUGAAUCAUCGAAUCUUUGAACGCACCUUGCGCUCCUUGGUAUUCCGAGGAGCAUGCCUGUUUGAGUGUCAUGAAAACCCUCAACCCUAGAUUGGUUAAAACCUUUCUUUGGUUUGGAUUUGGACGUUUGCCGAUGAUAAGUCGGCUCGUCUUAAAAGUAAUAGCUGGAUCUGUCUCGCGACAUGGUUUGACUUGGCGUAAUAAGUAUUUCGCUAAGGACAUCUUCGGAUGGCCGCGUUGCAGGACUAAAGACCGCUUUCUAAUCCAUUGAUCUUCGGAUUAAUACUCUUGACAUCUGGCCUCAAAUCAGGUAGGACUACCCGCUGAACUUAAGCAUAUCAUA